GCCUGUCCGAGCGUCAUUACAACCCUCAAGCUCUGCUUGGUGUUGGGCCCCGCCGCCCCGGCGGGCCUUAAAAUCAGUGGCGGUGCGUCGGGCCCUGAGCGCAGUAAAUAUCCUCGCUACAGGGACCCGGUGGACGCUGGCCAUCAACCUCACUUUUCAAGUUUGACCUCGGAUCAGGUAGGGAUACCCGCUGAACUUAA
rnacentral:misc_RNA from 1 species